AUAUUUUAUCCUUUCGUAUCGAUACUAGAACGAUACGGCAACCUUUCUCAUGUCUGUACAUUGAUCGGAUACUAGGCAAGAAAACGAAGACCGCUCCUUUUUGUUUACCUUUUUCUAUCGAAUCCCUGCUUUUGAUUUAGGUUUUCCCUGCUCAAUUCUCUUAUCUUUGUAUGAACUCUCUGAAUCUGUGAAAGUUUCUUAGUUAUUUUGCUUCAUGUUCCGGUUUUGAAUCAUAAAAAACUUUUUCUUCGAUUGAUUGGACUUUGUUGCGAUGCUUCCUGUUUGCAAGUUCAUAUUUUGUUGCUGGUAUUCUUAAUUAGCUUCUGGUUUUCCCAAUUGGAUUUCCUUAUCUUCUGGUAAGGUUUCUGAAUCUGUGGUUAAUAUUUUGUUACUAAUAUUCAACGUCUGGUUUCCCUAAAUUUCUUUCUCCUCUGACAAGUGCGCUCUCUUUUUGUAGGUUCAUGAUUUAUCACUGAAAUUCUUCUUUAGCUUCUGAAAUUCUGUGAAAGAUUGCUUUUUAAAGUGGUCAAGGAUGACAAUUGCAAGUGUUCUUCCGGAGAAGAGAAGUAAGGGAAAGGGAAAGCAUGUUCUUGAGGAGAACUCUCCCUUGCUGCCAAGCUUGCUGAAAGAUGAUGCAGAUUUUGAUGAAUUUAAUGGUGCUUCAUUUUCUGGUGCUGUAUUUAAUCUGUCGACUACCAUUGUGGGGGCUGGAAUCAUGUCUCUUCCAGCCACC